rnacentral:tRNA from 4 species
UCCCCGGUAGCUCAGUCGGUAGAGCGUCGGACUGUUAAUCCGUUGGUCGUUGGUUCGAGUCCAACCCGGGGAGCCA